GUUCGCAUAGCUUAACAAGGUUAAGCACCCGACUCAUAAUCGGAUGAUUUCAGGUUCGAUCCCUGAUGCGAGCACCA
rnacentral:tRNA from 1 species